rnacentral:lncRNA from 1 species
GCCGACACGUGUCUCUGGGCUUUAUUUAUUUGGCUGGACUUGAGUUUAACUUUGGGUUUAUACUAUGAACAAUUGACAUGCUUUUUACUCUUUAAUAUUAUUGAAUGUGUUAAUCAUUUCUUAAUACAUAGUAGAUAAAACAAAAAAACACACAUUACAAUAUAGACGUUACAUUAUCAUCAAAACGAUCUUUACCAUAUGUACCUCAUCGUGUGAUAAUUUAUAAAGUAGCAACGAAUCUAUGAGUUCAGCAAAUUUGCAAUUACCUACUUCAGAAUUUUAAGUAUAUAAGUGUGUUGAAUAUUAUAUUCAUAUGAUUUAAAAGCCUUUACAAAUUUUUAUUUUUAAACACACACCAAAAACUUUAUGAAAGUAAAUAUCCAUUCACGUUCUCAACCACUUCAAAUACCACCAACGCCAAAAAAAUUUAAUCAAGUGCACGAAAACCAUAAUAUAUUUAAAACAAUAAAUACAUUAGUUAAUGAAAAAUCAUUUUUAAAAAAUAUUAUGGAUGCAUACAUAAAUAUUAAGAGAAUUGUAUAAAAAAAAAAGUAACAAUAACUUGAAAAACAAAAUGUGUAAGACUCAGAAUAUUAAUGAUUUGUGGUCUAAGAUAUAUUCAACUUAUUGUCACAAAAAAAUUAAUAAAAAAAUACAUACUAUGUUUUAAGAACAUUAAAAAUCACGUUAAAAUUUUUAACAUUUUAAGAAAAAUUAUGAAUCCAUAAUAUUAAUAUAAAAUUUUAUCCGAAAAACUCAGUACUAAAUGCGUAAACAAAAAAACAAACAAAUCCUAAACCCUACAAUCCUAAACAUUAUUCUAAACCAAACCCUAAAUUCUACUAACCCUAAACCCUACAUAAUCCUAAACCCUACUAACCCUAAACCCUACCUAAUUCUAAACCUAUCUAACCCUAAACCCUACCUAAUCCUAAACUCUUUCUAUCCCUAAACCCUACCUAACCCUAAACCCUAAACCCUACCUAACCCUAAACCCUACCUAUUUCUAAACCACUUCUAACCCUAACCCAACCUAACCCUAAACCCUACCUACCCUGAACCUGACCUAACCCUAAUUCCUACCUAACCCUAAACCCUUUCUAACCCUAAACCCUGCUAACCCUAAACCCUACCUAAUUCUAAACCCUACUUAACCCAAACCCUACAUAACCCUAAACAUUUUCUAACCCUAAACCCUACCUAACCCUAACCCUACAUAACCCUAAACCCUACCUAACCCUAAAACCUAUCUAACCCUAAACCCUACCAACCCUAAACCCUACCUAAUUCUAAACCCUACCUCACACUAAACCCUUCCUAACCUUAAACCCUACCUACCCUAAACCCUACCUAACCCUAAACCCUACUAACCCUAAACCCUACCUAACCCUAAACCCUACCAACCCUAUACCCUACCUAACCCUAAACUUUACCUAACCCUAAACCCUAUUUAACCCUAAACCCUACAUAACCCUAAACCCUUUCUAACCCUAAACCCUGCCUAACCCUAAAAACCCUACCUAACCCUAAACCCUGCUAAUCCUAAACCCUUCCUAAGGCUAACCCUAAAACCCUACCUAAACCUAACCCUAAACUCUACCUAACCCUAAACCCUACCUACCCUAAACCCUACCUAACCCUAAACCCUUUCUAACCCUAAACCCUUCCUAACCCUAAACCCUGCCUAACCCUAAACCCUACCUAAUCCUAAACCCUGCCUAACCCUAAACCCUACCUAACCCUAAAC